rnacentral:rRNA from 1 species
GACGAACGCUGGCGGCGUGCUUAACACAUGCAAGUCACGGGGGCUCGCAAGAGCAACCGGCGAACGGGUGCGUAACACGUGAGCAACCUACCGAUUUGUGGGGGAGUAGCUGUCCUAACGGGCAGGUAAUACCGCAUACGCUUGUACGGCCUCCUGGCCUAACAAGGAAACCUCCGGGGCAAAUCGAGGGGCUCGCGGCCUAUCAGCUAGUUGGCGAGGUCACGGCUCACCAAGGCGACGACGGGUAGGCUGGUCUGAGAGGAUGGCCAGCCACAUUGGGACUGAGAAACGGCCCAGACUCCUACGGGAGGGCAGCAGUGGGGAAUCUUGCGCAAUGGACGAAAGUCUGACGCAGCGACGCCGCGUGGGGA